AUUGAACGCUGGCGGCAUGCCUAACACAUGCAAGUCGAACGGAAGAACGGAGCUUUCUCCUGGAUUCAGCGGGGCGCGCGUGUGUGAAGCACAGGAAUAUGCCUGCUAGUGGGGGGGAACGUCCGGAAAAGGCCGCUAAUACCGCAUACGACCUGAGCGAGAAACAGGGGGGUCUUUGGACCUCACGCGCUCUGAUGAGCGUAGGUCGGAUUAGCUAGUUGGUGGGGUAAAGGCCUACCAAGGCGACGAUCCGUAACUGGUCUGAGAGGAUGAUCAGUCACACUGGAACUGGGACACGGUCCAGACUCCUACGGGAGGCAGCAGUGGGGAAUGUUGGACAAUGGGCGAAAGCCUGAUCCAGCCAUGCCGCGUGUGUGAAGAAGGUCUUCGGAUUGUAAAGCACUUUUAGUUGGGAGGAAGGGCUGUAAGUUAAUACGUUGCGGUAUUGACGGUACCGGCAGAAUAAGCACCGGCUAACUACGUG
rnacentral:rRNA from 1 species